rnacentral:rRNA from 1 species
AUUGAACGCUGGCGGCAUGCCUUACACAUGCAAGUCGAACGGUAACAGAUCUUCGGAUGCUGACGAGUGGCGAACGGGUGAGUAAUACAUCGGAACGUGCCUAGUAGUGGGGGAUAACUACUCGAAAGAGUGGCUAAUACCGCAUGAGAUCUACGGAUGAAAGCAGGGGAUCGCAAGACCUUGUGCUACUAGAGCGGCCGAUGGCAGAUUAGGUAGUUGGUGGGAGAAAAGCUUACCAAGCCGACGAUCUGUAGCUGGUCUGAGAGGACGAUCAGCCACACUGGGACUGAGACACGGCCCAGACACCUACGGGAGGCAGCAGUGGGGAAUUUUGGACAAUGGGCGCAAGCCUGAUCCAGCAAUGCCGCGUGCAGGAUGAAGGCCUUCGGGUUGUAAACUGCUUUUGUACGGAACGAAAAGCCCUGGUUAAUACCCUGGGGUCAUGACGGUACCGUAAGAAUAAGCACCGGCUAACUACGUGCCAGCCGCCGCGGUAACAC